rnacentral:rRNA from 1 species
UACAGAGGUCCCAAGCGUUGUUCGGAUUCACUGGGCGUAAAGGGUGCGUAGGCGGGCAGGUAAGUCAGUGGUGAAAUCUCCGGGCUUAACCCGGAAACUGCCGUUGAUACUAUCUGUCUUGAAUAUAGUGGAGGUGAGCGGAAUAUGUCAUGUAGCGGUGAAAUGCUUAGAUAUGACAUAGAACACCCAUUGCGAAGGCAGCUCGCUACACUAUCAUUGACGCUGAGGCACGAAAGCGUGGGGAUCAAACAGG